GCCUCUUCGGCGGCAUCGUCUAGGGCCGGGGACUGGCCGCGGAGGCGCGCCCGUGCGCGCCGCCGCAGCCCCGAGAUCGCGCACGCACGCACCGUCAGCUCCCUGCUGGCCGCGGCCAGGCUGGGAGCGCUUUGGAUUUCAAGUGCUGCGGUCGGCCGAGGGCUCCCUGGGCACCCUUUAAAAAGGAGCCCGUCCCCGUCCCAUGCUGUCACCAGCCUGAAGUUUGCUCGCCUUUUGUCUGUAACACACGCCUCUCCCCGCGCGCAACACAAAGUCCAGGCAGUUAGGCCCGUGCCGCGGCUGCCACUGUGUGGGCUCCCCAGAUCUAGGAUAAUGACUGGAUGCAGACGCUCUGGUAGCAACAGAGAAACCUGAUUUUUCUUACUGAGAAAAUGGUGAAAAAUUGAAAACACCUUUUAUCUCAUCAUCGGAAGUCACCAUUAAGAUUUCUGUGUCACUUCCCAUGGGUACGUUUCAUCAUUUGUUCUACCGAGUCCUGGCCCCCUAAAGAGGUGAGAGCGAUGGAUUCCAUUUAGAGAUCGGCAAACCUUGAUUUGCCAAGCUUCAGCCCCGGAGUUGUGUCCAUCAUCCUACAGGAGGAGGCUGAGACGAAAGUGAGGAAAGUGAGAGCUGAGGAAACGUGCUGCCCCAGAGAACGGUAAAAAAUCACAAAGAUCAGGAAAAAGCCUUAUGUUGGGGCAGCCGCUGCUACCUAUUGGGGGACCAGCGCUGUUAAGAAGAGCUUGGGGCUGGAAAUGUGCUGUGUGAAUAAGGAUGUCAAUUCAGACAGGAGGCAUUUUUUUAAAGGAUGGCAUAUUCCCUGCAUUUUUCAAAAUGGCUCACCGUCCGCCAGGGAGGAAGCUCCUGUCUUGAAGGCAAUCUCCUUGUAUCAGUGACUUCUUGACUGUAUCUGGGAUGUAAACACAGCAGAGUGGUCAGUCAGGCCUGGCUGGGCUGUGGUACUUGUUAAUCGUGUGACCUUGGGAAAACUAAACCCCAAGCCUCCGUCUCUUCAUUCAUAAAAGAGGGGUGAUAAUGCCAGACUCACAGGGCUUUCCGUGGUAAAACCCCCAGGCAAAGUGUCACACCCAUUGUUAUUGUUAUUAUAAUGAAUCCCUUCCCGAUAAUGACCAUUUCCUGAAAAGUUUAAUCACCAGUUACCAGCAAACCUUUGAAACCAGAGAUGCUGAAGAACUUCAUUUCAUACAUCACCAUGCCUGGCCUAGAGCUGAGCCCAGUGCAUCACGCUUGGUACCCAGACACAGGGGUAAGGAAGAUGCUUCCUUGAGGACGUGUGAUAAACACAUGUUCAUUGCAUAUUUUUGUCAGGGCUGUGAAGAAAAAGUUAAUGGUUCUCAAAGUAUGGUUCCCAGACCAGAGGUACUAUCACCGGGCAACAUGUAGAAAUGCAAACUC